AUGGCAGGCCUAGAUUUUGCCAGUUUGAAUGAAUGACUUAUGCACAGUGCUUUGUAAGUGUGAGUAAACUUGACAUUUUUGUAAGUUGAAAAUGUGUUUCCCAUGAGAUAUACAACCUAUAUAAUCGAUAUACAUUGGGAGUGAAAGUAUUGGAGGACACUAUGCGCAAGACUGAGAGAGGCAAAUUGCAGAGGCUACUCUUCCAGAUGUAAACCCCCUCAUCGGCACCAAGAACAGAACGGCGAAUUUGCAGAAAAUACAAAAAAAAAAAGAUGAGCCUGAGAAGUUUUGGAACAAAGUAUUAUGGACAGAUGAAAUGAAGAUAAACUUUUACCACCAGUGAUCGAAAGAACUGCCACCAAACCCAUUGGAUGGAAGUUUAUCAUGCAAGGCAACAACUCAACAUAAGGCACACUUAACCAAGGAGCUUAUAUGGAAGAACAGGUUGUGUUUGAUGUGGCCCAGUCAGUCACCAGAUUUAAACUCAAGUGAACAUACUUUUCAUGUACUUAAAAGGAAACUGAAGUCUCAAACCCCAGCAAACACACAGGAACUGAAGGGGCAAAAAGCUUGGCUGAGCAUCUCAAAGGAUCACAUCAUGAACCUUGUGAUGUCCAUGAGUCAGACUAAAUGUAGUCAAAUGUUGGGUGUAUGCAGUGAAAUAUCGACCUUGCUGGUCAUUAGUUUGUCAACUUACUCUGUCCUAAUAUUUAUGCUGAAUUGAAAUAGCAUUGCAUUGAAUGGCAUUGUUGUAAUAUAAUUCAAUGUCUGUUUUUUGAAAUAAAAAAAACAUGAAAUAAAUGCAGAUUGUGAA